rnacentral:rRNA from 1 species
AUUGAACGCUGGCGGCAGGCCUAACACAUGCAAGUCGAGCGGAUGAAGGGAGCUUGCUCCUGGAUUCAGCGGCGGACGGGUGAGUAAUGCCUAGGAAUCUGCCUGGUAGUGGGGGAUAACGUCCGGAAACGGGCGCUAAUACCGCAUACGUCCUGAGGGAGAAAGUGGGGGAUCUUCGGACCUCACGCUAUCAGAUGAGCCUAGGUCGGAUUAGCUAGUUGGUGGGGUAAAGGCCUACCAAGGCGACGAUCCGUAACUGGUCUGAGAGGAUGAUCAGUCACACUGGAACUGAGACACGGUCCAAACUCCUACGGGAGGCAGCAGUGGGGAAUAUUGGACAAUGGGCGAAAGCCUGAUCCAGCCAUGCCGCGUGUGUGAAGAAGGUCUUCGGAUUGUAAAGCACUUUAAGUUGGGAGGAAGGGCAGUAAGUUAAUACCUGGCUGUUUUGACGUUACCAACAGAAUAAGCACCGGCUAACUUCGG